rnacentral:rRNA from 1 species
AACGAACGCUGGCGGCAGGCCUAACACAUGCAAGUCGAACGCCCUAGCAAUAGGGAGUGGCAGACGGGUGAGUAACACGUGGGAACCUUCCCUAUAGUACGGAAUAGCUCAGGGAAACUUGAAGUAAUACCGUAUACGCCCGAGAGGGGAAAGAUUUAUCGCUAUAGGAUGGGCCCGCGUCGGAUUAGCUAGUUGGUGAGGUAAUGGCUCACCAAGGCGACGAUCCGUAGCUGGUUUGAGAGAACGACCAGCCACACUGGGACUGAGACACGGCCCAGACUCCUACGGGAGGCAGCAGUGGGGAAUAUUGGACAAUGGGCGCAAGCCUGAUCCAGCCAUGCCGCGUGAGUGAUGAAGGCCUUAGGGUUGUAAAGCUCUUUUAGCAGGGAAGAUAAAUGACUGUACCUGCAGAAUAAGCUCCGGCUAACUUCGUGCCAGCAGCCGCGGUAAU